UACGUAGGGGGCGAGCGUUGUCCGGAUUUAUUGGGCGUAAAGAGCGUGUAGGCGACCAGGUAGGUCUGCUGUGAAAACUCGAGGCUCAACCUCGAGACGUCGGCGGAAACCAUCUGGCUAGAGUCCGGAAGAGGAGAGUGGAAUUCCUGGUGUAGCGGUGAAAUGCGUAGAUAUCAAGUGGAACACCAGUGGCGAAGGCGAGUCUCUGGACAUUUCCUGACGCUGAGGCACGAAAGCCAGGGGAGCAAACGGG
rnacentral:rRNA from 1 species